GUAAUUAAUAAAUGGUCUUCUUUCCCUCUCUAUCGUAUCUUUAUGGCCUAGAUCAUAUAUUUGACAAUUUAGCAAGAUAAUGGAAUGUUUAGGCUUAAAUUUUUUGGAUUCUAUUGAAAAAAAAAAUUGAAUGUAGAAUAUUUGUAUUUUGAUUAGCAUUUUUUCCACUUUUCAAUUGCAUGUGAAAUGAGAUUAUCUUAUAAAUGAGACCCUGUGACUCUUACUCAUCUUAUAAUUUUUCCUUACCAUGUGCCAAAUAGUGUCUAAUAAUCUUUUUUGGUGGUUGUGAUUAUAUUGACUCGAUGCUAGAUUAUUAAUUGCUCAGUCAAAGGGAGGAAAAAGCUUCAGUGAAAAAAUGAAUUGAAUUUGUAGUAAACAUGGAAAAUGUGUAAUUAACUUAUUAGCACUAGGCAAAAGAUAGGCAGAAUUUUUUAUUUAUAACAUAUGCAAAUAAAAUGCAUAACCUUUUCUUGAUUUUCCUAUAGCUUUGAAUUAAUGAUUCAAGCUUUUCUGUGAAGCAAAAUUGUGUUGGGUGGUUCCUCCGUGCAUGUACAUUACUAUUUAUUGGGACCUUUUGCUCUUUUGGUGGAGGGAACGAUGCAAAGGUUUCAUGAGAUUGUAGAGUUUUGACUAUUUUUUUGGGUGGUCUAGUUGGAGAGAAAUAGCAGCAUCUGUGAAGGUAAAAAGUGGGGUGGGGGUGGAUUUUUUUUAUGGAAUAUGAUUAGAUUUUAGGCAUCCUUGUAGGUGUCACAUAUUGAGGAUUUGAAAGAUUGUCCUUCUUGCUGAAUGGGACUGGGAUACAGCAGUUUCUAAGGUUAUUUUUCUGUUUUCUUUCUAUAAAAAUAAGUUAGACUGUCUAAGAUGCAAGCAAGGUGUUGUUUGCGAGGACAUAAUGCCAUUACCAUGUAGUAUCAAAACACCUUAGGCGUUACCAAUGCGGGAUUACCACAGUGGUUGUGGCCCUCCCCUUCCCCACUGCUUGGCACCCAGGAUCGAAACCUAAGGGUUUCUUUCCUCCCCAUGUAACCAAAAAAAAAAAAAACUCACCUUAGGCAUUUAAAGCCCUAUAGCAAUAAUGCUAUAAAUUUUCGGAGUGAGAAGGGUAAGAAUUAGCUAAAGGCUCUGUUUCGUUAGAUUUGUGCCUGCUUGAAUGGUUGAAAUUAGUUGAUAUGGAUAAAGUUUGUUGGUUUACCAUCAUUCCCAAACACUUAGGCUAUUUUGAUAUGGGCAGACAAUUAUUUCAUAUUCUAAACACCUCCUCCUCCAUUAGAGCCCAACAUGUGCAGUUCAACUUAAUAUUGGGACGUUGUAUUUCAGGAAUCAAACUUAGGAUCCCCUAUAUUGACUAAUUAGUUCUUAAAAUUACAAUAAACCCAACUUCUUCUGACAAAAUUGCAAUUAAUCAUUACGUUGACUUUAGGAUACGUGUGUCGAUUGAUACGGAUAUCCAAAAGUCAAUGGAUACGGAUUUGAAUUAUCGGACACAUAUCCAAAAAGUAUUGAGGGAGUAUUUGAGUAUCCAAUACAGACGUGUGGAUUUUUGGAGUAUCAGAGAAACAAAGGUGAUCUCCAAAAGGUAAAUAUGGAAGUUGGGUGGCUCCAGCGAAGAUUGGAUGAGAUCCUUAAGGCAAACUGGAGAAAGGAAAAUACACUACCAAUGAGAGAAGUUGUGGAACAGGAGUUUUGGUGUUUUAGAAACUCCAUUGUGAGUAAUGCAUACUAGUGAUCUCUCUCUCAGGUUACCUAUAGCCCAACAUAACUGAUGCAGGACGCAUAGGACCUAAAUUUAUUAGUUUCCUAAUAUAUUUGUUAGUUUCCUAGAUUCUCUAGUUUUCCAAAUUCUAGUAGGAUUUCUACUUUUCCAGAUUUCUAGUUUUAAGUUUCCUAUUUUAUUUGGGUUAGGAUUUCUGUUUAAGCAAGGGAUUUUUAUCCUAUUAUGUCUAGGUUUUAGUUUACUAUAAAUACCCCCAUUGAGUAAACCUUCUCUGAAAACUAUGUGAUUUCUGUUCUUCCUUCUCGGUUCUCUGAUUUUGGUCCUUAUUUUCGUCCCUUCGAUCUAUAUUUUCGUCUCCUCGGCCUCCUAUAUUCUUCUAUGUUAUAUUGUUUAAACAUUCACUAAUGGCCCAAAAAGCCCAAAAACUCAAGGUCGUGCCACAAGGUAUUCCAAAUCAGUCAACGGGACUAUCGAUUGACAUGCCCAAGGCUCAACUGGAGCCCAUCUUUUCUUUUGGUUCUAUGCCGCAGCUCAACUAUACCCAACAUACAAUGGGUUCUCCUCUGGUUGACGACAACAUUCUUGUCCCUACCCCGACCACACGACACGAACUUCAUGCACCAACACUUGGAUUUUGAGAUAGCCCGACACGCCCAGCCAGGUGUUUUUCCUGAACCAAGGCACUCUGGUAAUGACUUACGCACACAAUGGAUUCAGGGUCUAUCACACCCACACACACGCUUGCAUUCGUUGUCCGAUCAUGUUCGUCAUGGGUCUAGGCAGAGCUCUCUAUUUGCCAUUCUUACAAGGACUAAUGUUCCAUGCUUGCGGAACGGAUGGUUUCAAGGUGGCAAAUAUGAUGCUGAUCUUGAAGAACUACCGAACGCCACAUGCCUCUUCACACUUCCUUGGGAUUUUGAUUUUGUCGCUGUUUACUCGUCAGAGUCAAGUUCUUUUCGGCGGAGGAGAAUGAUGCAAGACA